UGGGGAAUAUUGCACAAUGGGGGAAACCCUGAUGCAGCGACGCCGCGUGAACGAAGAAGGUAUUCGUAUCGUAAAGUUCUGUCCUAUGGGAAGAUAAUGACAGUACCAUAGAAGAAAGCUCCGGCUAAAUACGUGCCAGCAGCCGCGGUAAUACGUAUGGAGCGAGCGUUGUCCGGAAUUAUUGGGCGUAAAGGGUUCGCAGGCGGUUUAAUAAGUCGAAUGUUAAAGAUCGGGGCUCAACCCCGUAAAGCAUUGGAAACUGAUAAACUUGAGUAGUGGAGAGGAAAGUGGAAUUCCUAGUGUAGUGGUGAAAUACGUAGAUAUUAGGAGGAAUACCAGUAGCGAAGGCGACUUUCUGGACACAAACUGACGCUGAGGUACGAAAGCGUGGGGAGCAAACAGG
rnacentral:rRNA from 1 species